GUUUGCAAGAAGAACCUGAGUCAGGAUGCCAGACUGCCAACAUGGAUGCCCAGUUGAAAGCAGAGGUUCUGAGCAGUACCUGUGUGUGUGUUUUCAGUUGCCCACCUGCUCCAGAGCAACAAUCAGUUGCUUGAAUGAGUCUGGGUUCUUCCUUUGUUUCCUAUGGGAGUCUUCAACAAGCCAUGUGAUGAGUACACCAUCUCUGAGAGUUAAGAUUAGUGUUUCCUGGGCUCAGUUUCAUGGUCCUGCUUCUGGUUAGCUCUCUAAACAAGUUCCUUUACUCAUUUGUGGUAUGCCUGUAUCAAUUUCUGAUCCCAUUUUCCCCUCUCACCCUUGCUACGCAUCGUUUGGUAAGCUGUAUAUUUAGUUCUUUGAUCAGUCUUUCUGGCUCUCAAUCAUUUCUGCCUCUCUUUUCUAAUGAGCCACAAAGCAUAUUCAGAGAUACUUCCAGCCUGGGAGAAAAUAGACUGUACAGAGCUCUCUUCCGAUUCCAGGCACUUUAAUUCAUAGUCCUCCAACAGACAAUAGAGUACAUCUUACUGAUUGCCUAAUAAAAUGAGGAGAAAUUGCUCUCUGAA